rnacentral:hammerhead_ribozyme from 1 species
AUCCAGGUGACGAGUUCCAAAUAGGACGAAAUGCGCAUCCUGGAU